rnacentral:rRNA from 1 species
GAUUUUUAUGCUUUGGUGUUUUUAGUGUAAUAUGCGGAACCACACUGAUCCAUUUCGAACUCAGUUGUGAAACGUUAUAAAUCGACGACAAUACUUGGAGGGGGGCCUCCUGGAAAGAUAGUUCAA